GACGAACGCUGGCGGCGUGCUUAACACAUGCAAGUCGAACGGAAAGGCCCUGCUUGCAGGGUGCUCGAGUGGCGAACGGGUGAGUAACACGUGGGUGAUCUGCCCCUUACUUUGGGAUAAGCCUGGGCAACUGGGUCUAAUACUGGAUAGGACCAUGCUGUUGGUGGUGUGGUGGAAAGAUUAGUUUCGGUAAGGGAUGAGCUCGCGGCCUAUCAGCUUGUUGGUGGGGUAAUGGCCUACCAAGGCGUCGACGGGUAGCCGGCCUGAGAGGGUGGACGGCAACAUUGGGACUGAGAUGCGGCCCAGAAGCCUACAGGAGGCAGCAGUGGGGAAUAUUGCACAAUGGGCGCAAGCCUGAUGCAGCGACGCCGCGUGGGGGAUGACGGCCUUCGGGUUGUAAACUCCUUUCGGCCAUGACGAAGCCCUUGUGGUGACGGUAGUGGUAGAAGAAGCACCGGCUAACUACGUG
rnacentral:rRNA from 1 species